AGUGAACGCUGGCGGCAGGCCUAACACAUGCAAGUCGAACGGCAGCACGGGGGGCAACCCUGGUGGCGAGUGGCGAACGGGUGAGUAAUACAUCGGAACGUGCCCAGUCGUGGGGGAUAACGUAGCGAAAGCUACGCUAAUACCGCAUACGAUCUACGGAUGAAAGCGGGGGAUCGCAAGACCUCGCGCGAUUGGAGCGGCCGAUGGCAGAUUAGGUAGUUGGUGGGGUAAAGGCUCACCAAGCCUUCGAUCUGUAGCUGGUCUGAGAGGACGACCAGCCACACUGGGACUGAGACACGGCCCAGACUCCUACGGGAGGCAGCAGUGGGGGAAUUUUGGACAAUGGGCGGAAAGACCUGAUCCAGCCACUUCCGCGUGCAGGAUGAAGGCCCUCCGGGUUGGUAAACUAGCUUUUACCUAGGGAGUGAUAAUGACAGUACCUCGGAGAAUAAGCUCCGGCUAACUCCGUGCCAGCAGCCGCGGUAA
rnacentral:rRNA from 1 species